UACAGAGGGUGCGAGCGUUAAUCGGAAUUACUGGGCGUAAAGCGUGCGUAGACGGUUUCGUAAGUCGGGUGUGAAAUCCCCGGGCUCAACCUGGGAAUUGCGUCCGAUACUGGCAGGCUUGAAUCCGGGAGAGGGAUGCGGAAUUCCAGGUGUAGCGGUGAAAUGCGUAGAUAUCUGGAGGAACACCGGUGGCGAAGGCGGCAUCCUGGACCGGCAUUGACGCUGAGGCGCGGAAAAGCCAGGGGAGCAAACGGG
rnacentral:rRNA from 1 species